UAAACCCUGCUGUGCGCGUGACGAAGCUGAUGUAUUGAACCAACACAUUUACCUAGGGAGCUGUACUCUGGUUGUCGGCAUGUAAGCCUUUCCAAGAGAAGGACACAUAAAGCAUCCGGGAGGCACCCACCUGUGAGAGCGGGUUCAGGUAAUCUUCAGCCGUAAACGACAUGGCGGGGUUUUA
rnacentral:other from 1 species